GAUGAACGCUAGCGGCAGGCUUAAUACAUGCAAGUCGAGGGGCAGCAGGACUGUAGCAAUACAGUUGCUGGCGACCGGCAAACGGGUGCGGAACACGUACGCAACCUACCCAAAACUGGGGGAUAGCCCGGGGAAACCCGGAUUAAUACCUCGUAACCUUUUUAAGUGGCAUCACUUGAUAAGUAUAGCUCCGGCGGUUUUGGAUGGGCGUGCGCCUGAUUAGGUAGUUGGUGCGGGUAACGGCCCACCAAGCCUGCGAUCAGUAACUGGUGUGAGAGCACGACCAGUCACACGGGCACUGAGACACGGGCCCGUCUCCUACGGGAGGCAGCAGUAAGGAAUAUUGGUCAAUGGACGCAAGUCUGAACCAGCCAUGCCGCGUGAAGGAUGAAGGUCCUCUGGAUUGUAAACUUCUUUUAUGGGGGACGAAACCCGGAUAUUCUUAUCCGAUUGACGGUACCUCAGGAAUAAGCACCGGCUAACUCCGUG
rnacentral:rRNA from 1 species